rnacentral:rRNA from 1 species
UCAUGGCCCUUAUGCCCAGGGCGACACACGUGCUACAAUGGCAUAUACAAUGAGACGCAAUACCGCGAGGUGGAGCAAAUCUAUAAAAUAUGUCCCAGUUCGGAUUGUUCUCUGCAACUCGAGAGCAUGAAGCCGGAAUCGCUAGUAAUCGUAGAUCAGCCAUGCUACGGUGAAUACGUUCCCGGGUCUUGUACUCACCGCCCGUCACACCAUGGGAGUUGAUUUCACUCGAAGCCGGAAUACUAAACUAGUUACCGUCCACAGUGGAAUCAGCGACUGGGGUGAAGUCGUAACAAGGUAACCGUAGGAGAACCUGCGGUUGGAUCACCUCCUUUCUAG